AUCCUUGUCCCGCACUAAUCCAUUCCAACACUGCUCUUAGAUGUAUGUCGCGGUACUGCGAUAGGAUUAUUUACAAGCUUAUUGGUUAUAAACAAAAACAAUUAAAUACAAAAAUACCUUAAUACAUAAAAAUAAAAUAAUCAAAUCUCAUUAUGAGAAGAAUAAAAGUAAUAUUAGCCUAAUUCAAAUAAACAAUUUAUAUCAUACGUUCAAGCGAGUAAAUAAGUCAAUACAAUAUCCAAGUAAGAAUAUAAAUAUGUUAACGUCAUCUAUUUCUUAGUUCUAUUUUCCAUUUAAGUUUAAGUAUGUUCUUAAUUGUGUUUAAAGCCAUUUUUAUUAGACAUGGCAUUUUAUUUUUGCAGCAAAAUGUGCCAGGGGGUAUAUAAAUAAUGUAGUGUUUAUUACUUUUAAUAUACCUUUUCUAUCUUGAUGGUAAAUCAUCAAGUCAGAAUACAGUUCUGUUAUAAGGUUAAUAUUAUCCUACAUUUAAGCUGUAUGCCUGUUGUUUUUAGGACUAUGGAGUGAACUGGGAACUACAGGACGUAAAGGCAUAACGCGUUUUAAAUUAAGAGUUUUAUAUUAUUCCGAGUCUAGUUCGCAGUGCAUUGCAAAGUAAACACAUGUGUCGUAAUUUUACAUAUGACUUAAUGACAACAAUGAUAUAAUUACUCUUCUUCAUUAUUUAUUUCGCAGUAAUUUCCGUGUACGGCAAGUGCGAGAGUGGGAAGAUCUUGAUUGGAGAAAUUGAUUGGGAAGAAGCGCUCGCUGCAGUACACAUCAAUCACCAAAACUCUGUUUUGGCUCAAAGCUGCAGCUGGUUGUUGACAUCUGCUGAUAUCAUUAAGGACUUAACAGAGGAAGAUGUGUGGCGGAAUGAUUUAAAGAAAGAAAGUGUUAAAUGCAUGAGUCUACGCGCAGACAAAGAGUUAUUUGCUCUUAUCGCCUUUUACAAGGAUAAAGACCCAGAAAGCAGCGAUUUUCUAGAAAUGACCAAAUGCCUGCUUGAUGACUGCCCGAAAGACUUUGAUGAAGACCCGGACGAAGUUUAAGAACGAAAAUAUGCUGGACACUCGAACAGCUUCUCCAAAAACAGUGAUGCACAACAAAAUCUUUGAAGACCUUUGUAAUAAGUUUAUAAUAGCCAUUGAAAUAUGUAUUUAAUCGUUGAAAAUUACAAUUAACAAUAAUAAACUUGCAUUUCAUCUUGAAUAAACAAUGUUUAUCCACAUGUUGUGUAUACCUCGGAAAAAUUAAAUUUCUUUAUGCAAGA